AAUGAACGCUGGCGGCAUGCCUUACACAUGCAAGUCAAACGGCAGCAUGACCUAGCUUGCUAGGUUGAUGGCGAGUGGCGAACGGGUGAGUAAUGCAUCGGAACGUGCCUUUUAGUGGGGGAUAACGUAGCGAAAGUUACGCUAAUACCGCAUAUUCUCUGAGGAGGAAAGCAGGGGACCUUCGGGCCUUGCGCUAGAAGAGCGGCCGAUGUCGGAUUAGCUAGUUGGUGAGGUAAAGGCUCACCAAGGCAACGAUCCGUAGCGGGUCUGAGAGGAUGAUCCGCCACACUGGGACUGAGACACGGCCCAGACUCCUACGGGAGGCAGCAGUGGGGAAUUUUGGACAAUGGGCGCAAGCCUGAUCCAGCCAUGCCGCGUGAGUGAAGAAGGCCUUCGGGUUGUAAAGCUCUUUCGGCUGGGAAGAAAUCGCACCCUCUAAUACAGGGUGUGGAUGACGGUACCAGCAUAAGAAGCACCGGCUAACUACGUG
rnacentral:rRNA from 1 species